rnacentral:rRNA from 1 species
AUUGAACGCUGGCGGCAGGCCUAACACAUGCAAGUCGAACGGUAACAGGAAGCAGCUUGCUGCUUCGCUGACGAGUGGCGGACGGGUGAGUAAUGUCUGGGAAGCUGCCUGAUGGAGGGGGAUAACUACUGGAAACGGUAGCUAAUACCGCAUAAUGUCGCAAGACCAAAGAGGGGGACCUUCGGGCCUCUUGCCAUCGGAUGUGCCCAGAUGGGAUUAGCUUGUUGGUGGGGUAACGGCUCACCAAGGCGACGAUCCCUAGCUGGUCUGAGAGGAUGACCAGCCACACUGGGACUGAGACACGGUCCAGACUCCUACGGGAGGCAGCAGUGGGGAAUAUUGCACAAUGGGCGCAAGCCUGAUGCAGCCAUGCCGCGUGUAUGAAGAAGGCCUUCGGGUUGUAAAGUACUUUCAGCGGGGAGGAAGGGAGUAAAGUUAAUACCUUUGCUAAUUGACGUUACCCGCAGAAGAAGCACCGGCUAACUCCGUG